GACCACUUUGUGAUUCAUGACUGGGGUGAAGUCGUAACAAGGUAACCGUAGGGGAACCUGCGGUUGGAUCACCUCCUUACCU
rnacentral:rRNA from 3 species